AACUUUUGACAAUGGAUCUCUUGGCUCUCGCAUCGAUGAAGAACGCAGCGAAAUGCGAUUCGUAAUGUGAAUUGCAGAAUUCAGUGAAUCAUCGAAUCUUUGAACGCACCUUGCGCCCCUUGGCAUUACGAGGGGCACACCCGUUUGAGUGUCGUGAAAUUCUCAAAAUCCUUUUCUUUGAUCGGAAUAGGACUUUUGGACUUGGCGGUUCAAUGCUCGGUUUCGCCUUUGAACGCGAGCUCCUCUCAAAUGAAUCAGUGGGGUCCGCUUUGUUGGUCCUUGACGUGAUAAGAUGUUUCUACGUUUUGGAUUUGGCAUUGUUUUUUCCGCUCCUAACUGUCCCCAUGGGACAACGAUGGUGCUUCGGUCGUCGCCAUCUAUGGCGGGAGGCUGAACCCACAAAGAACCUUGACCUCAAAUCGGGUGAGACUACCCGCUGAACUUAAGCAUAUCAAUAAGCGGAGGCU
rnacentral:misc_RNA from 1 species